AGAGUUUGAUCCUGGCUCAGGACGAACGCUGGCGGCGCGCCUAACACAUGCGAGUCGAACGAGAAAGUGGAGCAAUCCAUGAGUACAGUGGCGUACGGGUGAGUAACACGUGGAUCAUCUACCUCUUUGUGGGGAAUAACCCUGGGAAACCGGGGAUAAUACCGCAUAAGCCUGAGAAGGGAAAGCAGCAAUGCGCUGAGAGAGGAGUCCGCGGCCGAUUAGCUAGUUGGCAGGGUAAAAGCCUACCAAGGCAGAGAUCGGUAGCCGGCCUGAGAGGGCACACGGCCACACUGGCACUGAAACACGGGCCAGACUCCUACGGGAGGCAGCAGUGGGGAAUCUUGCACAAUGGGGGAAACCCUGAUGCAGCGACGCCGCGUGAGCGAUGAAGCCCUUCGGGGUGUAAAGCUCUUUCGGCAGGGAAGAUUAUGACGGUACCUGCAGAAGCAGCUGCGGCUAACUACGUGCCAGCAGCCGCGGUAAUACGGGGGGGGCAAGCGUUGUUCGGAAUUACUGGGCGUAAAGGGCGCGUAGGCGGCUCGCUAAGUCGGAUGUGAAAACUCUGGGCUCAACCCAGAGCCUGCAUUCGAAACUGACGAGCUCGAGUUCCGGAGGGGAAAGCGGAAUUCCUGGUGUAGCGGUGAAAUGCGUAGAUAUCAGGAGGAACACCCGGUGGCGAAGGCGGCUUUCUGGACAGAAAC
rnacentral:rRNA from 1 species